rnacentral:rRNA from 1 species
AGAGUCACUCCUACGGGAGGCAGCAGUGGGGAAUAUUGGACAAUGGGGGCAAGCCUGAUCCAGCAAUGCCGCGUGAGUGAUGAAGGCCUUAGGGUUGUAAAGCUCUUUCGACGGGAACGAUAAUGACGGUACCCGGAGAAGAAGCUGCGGCUAACUACGUGCCAGCAGCCGCGGUAAUACAGAGGGGGCAAGCGUUAAUCGGAAUUACUGGGCGUAAAGGGCGCGUAGGCGGUCUGAUAAGUUAGAUGUGAAAUUCCCGGGCUUAACCUGGGGGCUGCAUUUAAGACUGUCAGGCUUGAAUCCGGGAGAGGAUAGCGGAAUUCCCAGUGUAGAGGUGAAAUUCGUAGAUAUUGGGAAGAACACCAGUGGCGAAGGCGGCUAUCUGGACUGGCAUUGACGCUGAGGCGCGAAAGCGUGGGGAGCAAACAGGAUUAGAUACCCUGGUAGUCCACGCCGUAAACGAUGUGUGCUUGACGUCGGAGGGCAUAGCCCAUCGGUGUCGGAGCUAACGCGGUAAGCACACCGCCUGGGGAGUACGGCCGCAAGGUUAAAACUCAAAGGAAUUGACG